AUUGAACGCUAGCGGGAUGCUUUACACAUGCAAGUCGAACGAGUGGCGGACGGGUGAGUAAUCUAUCGGAACGUGCCCCGUAGCGGGGGAUAACUACUCGAAAGCGUGGAUAAUCCCGCAUACUAUUGGAGCGGCCGAUAGAGGCUUAGCUAGUUGGAGGGGUAAAGGCUCACAAAGGCGACUAGCCGUAGCGGGUUUGAGAGGACGACCAGCCACACUGGGAUUGAGCCACGGCCCAGACUCCUACGGGAGGCAGCAGUGGGGAAUUUUGGACAAUGGGGGAAACCCUGAUCCAGCCAUCCCGCGUGUAUGAGAAGGCCUUCGGGGUGUAAAGCACUUUUGGCAGAGAAGCGGUAUCUGUAGAAUAAGCACCGGCUAACUACGUGCCAGCAGCCGCGGUAAUUC
rnacentral:rRNA from 1 species